GAAAUAUUAGCUUAUAUUGAAACAACAAAAUGAUUCUUAUUUAGAAAAGUAGUUGGCGGCAUUGCUAAAGUCGGUCUCAAAUUUCUUCCAUGGGAUCGUGAUUCUUUGGAGAAACUGGCCUACCUAAAAAGCGAGGACAGCGACUCGUUUCAAGAACUCUUGGAGAAUGCGAAGCAUGAAUUCAAAGACGAAUUGUCUGAUGGUGACAUGAACAAGUUGGUUUCUACAUUAAAUGCAGUCUCUGGAAUGAAUCUGGACGAAAUUGAAGAGUAUGCUCAUAAUAUGAAAAGCAACGAUGUAGAAGUUAAUGAAAGCUUAAAGCAAGCUACUGACCAACUCCGUGAGGAAUUACUCCUGAAAACCGCAAUGAUGCGAUAAAUGAGUUCCGAUGCAAAAAAUUUGGCCAUAUUGUUUCUGAAAUCUAGCGAAAGUUAUACUAUAGUAUUUUUCUUUAUCUAGUUAUUUGAAUUAGUUGAAGCGUCUUACAUUGCGGAUUGAUUUCGAUAAUAAAUAAAUAACUAAGCGGAA